UACGGAAGGCAGCAGUGGGGAAUAUUGCACAAUGGGCGAAAGCCUGAUGCAGCUAUGCCGCGUGUAUGAAGAAGGCCUUAGGGUUGUAAAGUACUUUCAUCGGGGAGGAAAAACAAAACUAAUAAUUUUAUUUCUUGACGUUACCCGAAAAAGAAGCACCGGCUAACUCCGUGCCAGCAGCCGCGGUAAUACGGAGGGUGCUAGCGUUAAUCAGAAUUACUGGGCGUAAAGAGCACGUAGGUGGUUUUUUUAAGUCAGAUGUGAAAUCCCUGGGCUUAACCUAGGAACUGCAUUUUGAAACUGAAAUACUAGAGUAUCGUAGAGGGAGGUAGAAUUCUAGGUGUAGCGGUGAAAUGCGUAGAUAUCUGGAGGAAUACCUGUGGCGAAAGCGGCCUCCUAAACGAAUACUGACACUGAGGUGCGAAAGCGUGGGGAGCAAACGAGGGAUUAGAUA
rnacentral:rRNA from 1 species